rnacentral:misc_RNA from 1 species
CUGAAUAAAGCGUGGUCGGGGGGUUGUUGCUGGCAUCCUCUGUGAUGCAUGUGCACACCCUCUGCCACUCUGUCAUUCACCCUCUCCACCUGUGCAUUUUAUUGUAGGCCAGUUUGCCAUUUUUCACUCGCUCUUGCUUGUGUCUUGGGGUUUGCUGUUGCAUUGACACGGCUCUCCUCGUCGGCAUCUCUGGUCUAUGCUCUUUUUACCCAUAACACCCCCAUGUUUUUGUAUUGCGUUAGCUUUGUUAAAAGCAAUGUGUAUGCA